rnacentral:rRNA from 1 species
UACGUAGGGGGCUAGCGUUGUCCGGAAUCAUUGGGCGUAAAGCGCGCGUAGGCGGCCCUGUAAGUCCGUUGUGAAAGUCGAAGGCUCAACCUUCGAAAGCCGAUGGAUACUGCAGGGCUAGAGUCCGGAAGAGGCGAGUGGAAUUCCUGGUGUAGCGGUGGAAUGCGCAGAUAUCAGGAGGAACACCAGUAGCGAAGGCAGGCUCGUGGGACGGUACUGACGCUAGGACGCG